UACAGAGGGGGCAAGCGUUGUUCGGAAUUACUGGGCGUAAAGGGCUCGUAGGCGGCCAACUAAGUCGGAUGUGAAAUCCCCAAGCUUAACUUGGGAACUGCAUCCGAUACUGGAUGGCUUGAAUCCGGGAGAGGGAUGCAGAAUUCCAGGUGUAGCGGUGAAAUGCGUAGAUAUCUGGAGGAAUACCGGUGGCGAAGGCGGCAUCCUGGACCGGCAUUGACGCUGAGGAGCGAAAGCUAGGGGAGCAAACGGGG
rnacentral:rRNA from 1 species